rnacentral:sRNA from 1 species
UUGACUUGGUAAUGAGAAUCGAUAUGAUUAUCACAACUGGUCGCGAGACUGGUCGAUAUUCUGAAUAGCCCUUGGUUCGGACUCUCAGAUUAUCUCCUCAUCAGGCUAAUCACGGUUAUUUGACCCGGCUCUUGCCGGGUCUUUUUUUG